AUGCACGCUGGCGGCGUGCUUCACACAUGCAAGUCGCACGGUGAAGGCGGAGCUUGCUCUGCUGGAUCAGUGGCGAACGGGUGAGUAACACGUGAGCAAUCUGCCCCUGACUCUGGGAUAAGCGCUGGAAACGGCGUCUAAUACUGGAUACGAGCUGCGAAGGCAUCUUCAGCAGCUGGAAAGAAUUUCGGUCAGGGAUGAGCUCGCGGCCUAUCAGCUUGUUGGUGAGGUAAUGGCUCACCAAGGCGUCGACGGGUAGCCGGCCUGAGAGGGUGACCGGCCACACUGGGACUGAGACACGGCCCAGACUCCUACGGGAGGCAGCAGUGGGGAAUAUUGCACAAUGGGCGAAAGCCUGAUGCAGCAACGCCGCGUGAGGGACGACGGCCUUCGGGUUGUAAACCUCUUUUAGCAGGGAAGAAGCGAAAGUGACGGUACCUGCAGAAAAAGCGCCGGCUAACUACGUG
rnacentral:rRNA from 1 species